rnacentral:misc_RNA from 1 species
GGAAGAUCAUUCUUUUAUCCUCUCUUGUUUUUGAAAGGGUGAAACAUAAAAGAUACGAAAGUAGGGGAAAGCAAAUUGGAAAUUUAAAAUGCAUUUUUGCAUAGUUUAAAAAGUUAAGUUUUCAAAUUGGAAAAGGGAAAAUGAGUAAACAAGCUAUAGAUUCAAUUUCUCCCCAAAUUGGGGUGAAUGAUUUUUGUGGGACCAAGUAAUUAAUUUUUAAUCUAUUUCCUCCUCCCCUCUUUUUCUUGUUGAAAGUUGGAUU